rnacentral:rRNA from 1 species
UCUGAUGUGAAAGCCCCCGGCUCAACCGGGGAGGGUCAUUGGAAACUGGGGAACUUGAGUGCAGAAGAGGAGAGUGGAAUUCCACGUGUAGCGGUGAAAUGCGUAGAGAUGUGGAGGAACACCAGUGGCGAAGGCGACUCUCUGGUCUGUAACUGACGCUGAGGAGCGAAAGCGUGGGGAGCGAACAGGAUUAGAUACCCUGGUAGUCCACGCCGUAAACGAUGAGUGCUAAGUGUUAGGGGGUUUCCGCCCCUUAGUGCUGCAGCUAACGCAUUAAGCACUCCGCCUGGGGAGUACGGUCGCAAGACUGAAACUCAAAGGAAUUGACGGGGGCCCGCACAAGCGGUGGAGCAUGUGGUUUAAUUCGAAGCAACGCGAAGAACCUUACCAGGUCUUGACAUCCUCUGACAAUCCUAGAGAUAGGACGUCCCCUUCGGGGGCAGAGUGACAGGUGGUGC